AAACCUCUAAGCUGGCAGAACCAGCCUUCACAAUACAUUUGCAGCCUGCCUUCCCAGCUUAAUUCCUCUUUUACAAGCUCUGAGCUACAACAAACUAACCACAUGAGGUCUCAUACAAACACUAUGAGCUUUCUCUACUCUUCCCUUCCCAACAGAUGUACAUCUCUUUUUUUUUUCUUUUCUUUUUUUUUUUUUUUUUUUGAGAUGGAGUCUCGCUCUGUCACCCAGGCGGGAGUGCAGUGGCCCGAACUUGGCUCACUGCAAUCUCCGCCUCCCGGGUUCACGCCAUUCUCCUGCCUCAGCAGCUCGAGUAGCUGGGACCACAGGUGCCUGCCACCACGCCUGGCUAAUUUUUUGUAUUUUUAGUAGAGAAGGGGUUUCACCAUGUUAGCCAGGAUGGUCUUGAUCGCCUGACCUCAAGAUCCGCCCGCCUCGGCCUCCCGAAGUUCUGUGAUUACAGGUGUGAGCCACCGCGCCCGGCCAUGGAUGUGUAUCUCUUUACAGCCUCCCAAUGCUAGAAGACAGCACUGAGCCUCCUUCAGCUGGAUAUGAUGGCUUUUCCUCUAAACUUAGUGACAUUAUGUUUGUUUCUCAUGAUACUUAUGAUUUUCUACUUUUAAAAAUAACAACAGCAUGGAUUAAACCCCCAACAGCAAGGAUUCUAUCCAAUAUCUCUGUGUACCCAAAGCACAAAAAAGGUGUUCAAUGAAGGUGUUCAAGACAAUUAUUUCUAAAUAGAAGUAAUAAGAAGAAAAUAACAAAAUAAAAAAACUAGACAUUAGCUUUUUUAUUUUUAAUGUUCAAAACCAAGUCUCUUUUGUAUAGUUUUUAUUAAGAGCUACAUCGCCUGAACUGCUUCAGUCUGAACUGGCAUCUCCUACUGCACAGCUGCCCUGGGGAAGUCCCUCCUCUGCCAUCACUAGCACCUUCUUGCCUCUCUUUCGGCUGGGAACCCACAUCUUUGUGUUCAUUGGCUUAGUGGAAGAAACUCUCAGAAACCUUCCUAGGGAAUCAUGCAGAGAAGACAUUUUAUUAAAGAACUGGAAGGUCUGAAAAUGUCUUUGUUCUACACUCAGGCUUGACUGAUAGUCUGGGUGGAUUUUUAAGCAGAAUUUUGAAAGUGCUGUUCCACUGACUUAAAGCUUCUAUUAGUUAUUGUUGAGAAGCCCAAAGCCAUUCUAAUUCUUGAUACCUCAUAUGUGAACAUUUCUUUUGUUUCUGAGAAUGUGUAGAAUCUUUACAUUGUCCCCAGUGGUUAGAAAUUUCACGAUGAUAUUCCUUAGUGUGGGACCAUUCCUGUGCAGUGCGUUGGGCACUCAGUACAAAGUCCAAUAAAUACUCAAAAUAUCGGUUUUUCAGGAGUAUUGUAUAUAUGUAGCAGAUUCUCUCCUAAGGCACUUAAACUGCAAUAUUACAGCAUUGCUUUGAAAUACAUACAACUAAAAUUAGUAGUCAUAUAAUUUUGUUAUUUUUAUAGGAAAUACUGUGUGUUCUUCUGUCUUUAGAAACUGAAAGUAAGUGGUGUAGAUGUGUGAUCGUGACAUAACCAUCUAUCUGAACAUUUGAAACCUUGAACUCUGCAGAAAUGCCAGGUGUUUAACAUCAGAGCUGAAACCUGUGACAGGAGCACUUGAGAAGUCAUAGCAGGAAGGAGCUAAAAUGGUCUGACUAAACAAUCAAAGAUCGAAAGAUUUGAAGUUGUUUGUGUCAAUUCUUGUAAAUUCAAGGCUUAGCCUUGACAAGUAAGGAUGUGGCAGGUUGUUCAACACCAGAAAAUAUGUAGGAUACAAUUUGUCUGAAAGAAAAAUGCUCUUCAGGCCAUUCGUCGAGGUUAGAAAAGGUGCUAGAGAGGCCUCCACAAAAAUGAGGUUUAAACAUUUACAUCAAAGCUAUAAUAAAUAAUUCCUCCUACAAAAAUCAGGGUCUUAUAAGAGGGGUAGGGGAGGAAGAAGAAUGUUGCACUGCUUUGUAAGAAAAAAAGAAAGACUAUAAAUUAGAGAGUAUGGAAUUAUAAUUACAGAAUAUUCUGAUUAACUUGCCCAUAAAGUAAGAUGUAUGGUUAAGGUCACCAAACCUUAACGGGUGACAUAAUUCAGAUCUGUCAAAGCACCUAGAAUUGUUCCUCAGGGAAAUUAAAGUUUGCAAAUUACAGAGCCAGUAUUACUAAUCGUAGUGGACCAAAGCAGAACUUGGAGCUGGCCAUUUCUCGAGUUGGGAGAAGACUUUAUGAUAUGAGUGACUACCAUUUUCUUGUCUGAUCAAAAUGUCUUCUGCAACUGCUGCUAUCAUUGGUUUCUUCCUUUCUUCAGGUCCCUCUCUUCGCUUCCUGAGAAAAGUGAAAUUUUUGGCUCUGACUUUCAAAUUUUUCCAUUACUUCUAUUUUUCUGCUAAUAUUCUCUCCUUUAUUUUCUUUACUGCUGGUUUAAACUAACUUUCCUAGAGGCAAAACGCUUGCCUCCAACUCCCUUAAAGAAAACUUCAAAACCGAGUUUCAUGUUCUUUGAAAUGAUGCAUAAGAAAACAAUAAAACAAGAGGGUGGUGUAAGACUGAGAUGGUGAGAGAAGUGACAUUGUGUAUAAUUAUGCAUGUUAAUUUUUUUACUGAGAUUAUUUUGGUCCUCUGGGAAAAAGAAAUGUUCUAAGUCAUUUCUUGUACAGUCUCCCUUUCUUCAUAAAGUAUUUUAUAUCUUUAUAAAAUCACAUAUUUUAUGAUUUAAAAAACAGGAAUAGAAAAACAUGUAAAGAGGAAUAUUUAAAAAUUUUGUCAUUUGUUAUCAAUGGCUAAAGAUAACAUUUUUGGACCUUGGACUUGAUUUACUUCUAAUCAUAAAAUAAUUCUUGUGUGCGUGCAUGUGUGUGUGUCUGUGUAUCUGUGUGCUUACCUAUGAAUAUUAACCAGUUUGGGAACCAGACUGCAAACAUAUUCUGGAUCCUAAAUAUUGCAUGCAAUGUAUUUUUACCUCAUUAAAUAUUGUAUGAAAACGUUAUCUUUACUGAGUUAAAGAAUAUUUCAUCAUUUAGACAUAUCCUGCAUUCUUUAAACCACCCUCUGUUUUUGGACAUUAACAUAUUUCCAAAAUUCUGUCUAGAAGUUAUAGAAUUUGAGGCUUCAUUACAUUAAUCUUUAUGUGUUUUCUGAUUAUUUCCUUUGGAUAUAUUCCUAAGAGUGGAAAUACUGGGGUCAAAGGAUUUGAUUGCUUUUGGCAUUCUUGAUUAAUAUAUAUUGCCUAAGUGCACUUUGGAAAGGUUGUGUCUGUUUCAUUCUUAUAAGGGUGCAUGAGAAUACCUUUUCAUCAAGCAUUUCUUUCCAACACAAAUA
rnacentral:lncRNA from 10 species